ACGAAAGUCUGACCGAGCAACGCCGCGUGAGUGAAGAAGGUUUUCGGAUCGUAAAACUCUGUUGUUAGAGAAGAACAGGGGUGAGAGUAACUGUUCAUCCCUUGACGGUACCUAACCAGAAAGCCACGGCUAACUACGUGCCAGCACCGCGGUAAUACAAACCUG
rnacentral:rRNA from 1 species